AGUGAACGCUGGCGGUAGGCCUAACACAUGCAAGUCGAACGGCAGCACAGUAAGAGCUUGCUCUUACGGGUGGCGAGUGGCGGACGGGUGAGGAAUACAUCGGAAUCUACUUUUUCGUGGGGGAUAACGUAGGGAAACUUACGCUAAUACCGCAUACGACCUACGGGUGAAAGCAGGGGAUCUUCGGACCUUGCGCGAUUGAAUGAGCCGAUGUCGGAUUAGCUAGUUGGCGGGGUAAAGGCCCACCAAGGCGACGAUCCGUAGCUGGUCUGAGAGGAUGAUCAGCCACACUGGAACUGAGACACGGUCCAGACUCCUACGGGAGGCAGCAGUGGGGAAUAUUGGACAAUGGGCGCAAGCCUGAUCCAGCCAUACCGCGUGAGUGAAGAAGGCCUUCGGGUUGUAAAGCCCUUUUGUUGGGAAAGAAAAGCAGCAGGUUAAUACCCCGCUGUUCUGACGGUACCCAAAGAAUAAGCACCGGCUAACUUCGCG
rnacentral:rRNA from 1 species